UGACCUCGAAUCAGAUG
rnacentral:rRNA from 1 species